rnacentral:lncRNA from 1 species
GAACCUAACGUUCUGAAUAUUAAAUUUUAUCUAUUGUUUUAUUCAUGGCGCUAAAUGUGACGUUUGGCGUCAAUUUGUACGUGACGUCCAGUAUACGUCUGACGUCGUUUCCGCCCGUUAGUUUUGUUAUAGUUUAAACGUGAGUUAAGGAGCUUGGAUGAAAUUUACUUUGUUAAAGUAAAUCUAUUUGAGAUACUAAAGUUGAGAAUCGGCAUUUACGGCAUCUACGGCAUUUAUGGAGAUGCACAUAAUUGUCAGAAAAUAAAUGAUAGAAGCCGCAUAUCUCGCUUGUGUAUGAGUAAGAAUCCCGAGUCCCUUACAAUUCUCAACUCGUGUCCUGAAAAGAUUCUGGAUAAAGAUACUGGUUCCUGAGAGAUCGAAAUAUGGAAACUGCGGAGUUUACCUCGGCAAAGAGGUCACGUUCUGCGUACCUUGCACAGCUGACCAAAAUUUACAAUGAACUUGAGAGACAGAUGGUGUCUACAGAAAACGCUGAAAAGGUAAAACACUUAUACAAAAAUCUAUGUGACAGAUAUG